AGUGAACGCUGGCGGUAGGCCUAACACAUGCAAGUCGAACGGCAGCACAGUAAGAGCUUGCUCUUACGGGUGGCGAGUGGCGGACGGGUGAGGAAUACAUCGGAAUCUACUUUUUCGCGGGGGAUAACGUAGGGAAACUUACGCUAAUACCGCAUACGACCUACGGGUGAAAGCAGGGGAUCUUCGGACCUUGCGCGAUUGAAUGAGCCGAUGUCGGAUUAGCUAGUUGGCGGGGUAAAGGCCUACCAAGGCGACGAUGCGUAGCUGGUCUGAGAGGAUGAUCAGCCACACUGGAACUGAGACACGGUCCAGACUCCUACGGGAGGCAGCAGUGGGGAAUAUUGGACAAUGGGCGCAAGCCUGAUCCAGCCAUACCGCGUGGGUGAAGAAGGCCUUCGGGUUGUAAAGCCCUUUUGUUGGGAAAGAAAAGCAGCAGGUUAAGACCCCGCUGUUCUGACGGUACCCAAAGAAUAAGCACCGGCUAACUUCGUG
rnacentral:rRNA from 1 species